ACCAUUACAAGGAGUUAAUAUACUAUUAUUUUUAACAUUUUUUUUCAUGAUAGAACUCAGCAACAAAAUUUCUUUGAUCAAACUUUGGAUUAGGAUUAUUUUGAAGCACGAAUGAUUUUUACAUGAAGCUCUUUUCUCGUUUUCUUUAUGUAUUUGUGAGAAAUUCAUUUUUUAGUCUAUAGUAGUUUUGGAUAAUUAAAGUCGCUAUUUUGGGAAAAUCCAAGUUUCAAUCUUGUGAUUAUAUGAGUUAGGUACAGCGUAAAAUCUGCUUUGUGUUGGAAUGAGUAGCAAAAUUGAAACUUUUCAAGUAUAUUCAAUCGUUGGACUGUUGGAGUAUUGGAUAAUAAAGUUUCUAUCUUGAAGAAAAAAAAGAGUUGGCAAAAUGAUAUCUUCAGGAUGAAUUUGGUGAUGACUGCGAUUGGAUUUGCAGUUAGUACUAUGUUCAUAGUAUUUGUCUGCACUAGGCUAAUUUGUGCAAGAAGAUCACACAAUUUUUUCCCUACUCCGAUCUUGUUGUCACGUGUAUUUUUCGUAAUUGACCGGUGUUAGAGGGAUUUUCAAGAGAGUCGACUCAGGUAUGUUAAGGUUAAGCUCUUCCUUCAUUUUGCAUGAUCUCGUCAUUACACAAGAUUGGUAACAAGCCAUAGAGAAAAAAUCAUAUUCCGGAAUUUGCGUAUAUUUUGUUGUCUCACAAGUUACGUAUAUUUUUCUAGUUUCGUAAGUUACAAUAUUCUCCUUUUCUGGACUUUAUAUUCAAUUGAGUAUUUCCCUCUUCGAAUCAAGAGAGCAGAGAGUUUAGAUAUACAGUAUUAAAAGUAUUUUCAUUACCCUCGAGCUAUAAUCGAUGGACAGGCUCCUAUUGGGAAACAUCUGAUCAGAUGGUAUGUUAUAUGAUGAUCCUAGUGUGGCCGAGCGCAUAUGAGCGAGCCCAGUUGGUCGAGAUAAAGAGCCUAGUAUGGCCGAACGCUUAUGAGCGAGCCUACUACGACAGAGUAGAUAUAUAUAUGUAUACCGAGCCUUAUAGGGCCGGAUAGCUAUUUUAUUUACUAUAUUGAGAAAAUUGAGUGAAUAUCAGCAGGUAAGCAUAUUUUCAGAUUAUCUUUGACUUCCAGCUACUUGCAAUUAUUAUAUUAUCAUUUCAGUUUCAGCUUUCAGUAUAUUGCCUCACAUACUCAGUACAUUAUUUUGUACAAACGUCCCUUUAUGGGGGCGCUGCAUUUCAUGCGUGCAGGUCAGACAGACAGACGUGUAGACCUCUUCAAUAAGUGUUGCUCGAGUUCAGCAUUAUUGGUAAGCUCUAUGCCUUUCAGAGUUUCCGAGUCUACAACCUUAUCUAUAUCUUGUAUAUAUAUAUGUAUAUAUGUCAUGAGUAGGUCGGAGAGCUGUUCCCAUCAUAGUAUAUCCAUUAGUAGAGGCUUGUAGACAUAUCUUGUUAGUUAGUGUAGUAUGUUGGGCUUUCAGG
rnacentral:lncRNA from 1 species